rnacentral:rRNA from 1 species
CCUACGGGUGGCUGCAGUGGGGAAUAUUGGACAAUGGGGGGAACCCUGAUCCAGCCAUGCCGCGUGUGUGAAGAAGGCCCUCGGGUUGUAAAGCACUUUCAGUGAGGAAGAACGCCUGGUGGUUAAUACCCAUCAGGAAAGACAUCACUCACAGAAGAAGCACCGGCUAACUCCGUGCCAGCAGCCGCGGUAAUACGGAGGGUGCGAGCGUUAAUCGGAAUUACUGGGCGUAAAGCGCGCGUAGGUGGCUUGAUAAGCCGGUUGUGAAAGCCCCGGGCUCAACCUGGGAACGGCAUCCGGAACUGUCAAGCUAGAGUGCAGGAGAGGAAGGUAGAAUUCCCGGUGUAGCGGUGAAAUGCGUAGAGAUCGGGAGGAAUACCAGUGGCGAAGGCGGCCUUCUGGACUGACACUGACACUGAGGUGCGAAAGCGUGGGUAGCAAACAGGAUUAGAUACCCGUGUAGUC